GGGGGGGGGGGGGGGGGGGGGGGGGGGGGGGGGGGCGGGGGGGGGGGCGCGGCGGGGGGGGGGUGCUCGGGGGGGGGGCGGGGGGGGGACGCGUGAGGAGCCUGCCCUGGCCUUUGGGGUAGCUUCAGGGAACUGGGGCUCAUGCCGGAGAGGAGCUCCUGCUGCAUGGUGGGGGUGGGAAGGUGUCGGCGGUUGGGGAUGGACUCGCGGCUUAUCAGCCUGUUGGUGGGGUAGUGGCUUACCAAGGCUUUGACGGGUAGCCGGCCUGAGAGGGUGACCGGCCACAUGGGGACUGGGAUACGGCCCAGACUCCGACGGGAGGCAGCAGUGGGGAAUAUUGCACAAUGGGCGGAAGCCUGAUGCAGCAACGCCGCGUGCGGGAUGACGGCCUUCGGGUUGUAAACCGCUUUCGCCUGUGACGAAGCGUGAGUGACGGUAAUGGGUAAAGAAGCACCGGCUAACUACGUG
rnacentral:rRNA from 1 species